AGUGAACGCUGGCGGUAGGCCUAACACAUGCAAGUCGAACGGCAGCACAGUAAGAGCUUGCUCUUACGGGUGGCGAGUGGCGGACGGGUGAGGAAUACAUCUGAAUCUACUUUUUCGUGGGGGAUAACGUAGGGAAACUUACGCUAAUACCGCAUACGACCUACGGUUGAAAGCAGGUGAUCUUCGGACCUUGCGCGAUUGAAUGAGCCGAUGUCGGAUUAGCUAGUUGGCGGGGUAAAGGCCCACCAAGUCGACGAUCCGUAGCUGGUCUGAGAGGAUGAUCAGCCACACUGGAACUGAGACACGGUCAAGACUCCUAAGGGAGGCAGAAGUGGGGAAUAUUGGACAAUGGGCGCAAGCCUGAUCCAGCCAUACCGCGUGGGUAAAGAAGGCCUUCGGGUUGUAAAGACCUUUUGUUGGGAAAGAAAAGCAGCAGGUUAAUAACACGAUGUUCUGACGGUACCAAAAGAAUAAGCACCGGCUAACUUCGUG
rnacentral:rRNA from 1 species